UCUCCGCCGUUUACCCUUUACCCAUGAAGCUGUCGUUGGCGUCGUCGUGGCCUUCACCGCCACACGCAUCAAGUUUUCCUCACUGUUUCGAGUCAGCCCAGCCAUCCUCGCUUCCAGCACCGUCGAUUGCUUCUGUCACUGUGAUAUAAGCUUCAAAAAGAUUAAACAUGGACCCUCGAAGGUUUACUGGGUUUUUCUCAGGGUGGAAUACUUGCAUCUGUAAUUCCUUAACUGCAAAGAGAGGGGUCUGCUUUCAGCAACGUGCCGAAGAUAAAAUUUGUAAUUAUAAUACCAGGGUUUGCACUUCGGGAAUUGAAGUCUCGGCCGCCUAAAAGUGCUAGCUAAUGUGUAUUCAGUUCCAAUUGACUACCCUUCAAUUCAUGUGAUCGGUAAGUUUAGGACUUUUAGGUAGUUGAUCGCUCUUGUGGGAGCAUGUUUCCUAUUUCCAUUUGAAAUUGUCGAAGGUCCUUUUUUCUCUUUAAAAGAAUUUUCUUCUAUUGUUUGGAGCUUUUAUGAGGUAAAAUCUUCACAGAAUGAUCUGGUGGAUCACAUGGAUUUAAUUGCCGAGGCUGCUAAAAGUGAUGAUUCAUUAGCAAAAUCCAAGUUUUGUAUGUCGUAAUAUAGUAAAAUCAUUUUGUUGCAUUUAAUUGUUAUUUUCCAUUGGAUAUUGUGGUGUCGAAUUUAGCACGUCUUAGUCUGCGAUGAUUUUUAUAUCAUGAUUUUUGGCUUGUAAAACAUGAGAGAUUCAUCUUAAGCAUUGUAGCUAUUUAUAAUGAUGUUUCUAUCUUUCGGGUUCUUUUUGUCAUUGAAGUCAAUGUAAUUUUAUAUUGUGAACAAUUUUUACGCUCAUUUUCGAUGGAGAGGCCCAAAAGCGGAAACUUGCUAAUGAGAAUACUCGAGCCACAUCAAUUUCUGGAUUUAUAGUUAAUGAUUCAGUUGAUGACCCUGAGCUAGAUGAUUCCAACUAUGAUGAAGACCAUAAGCUAGAUGAUUCCAAUCAUGAUGAUGACGAAGAUGACUUGUAUGAAUCAGUUUGUGCUAUUUGUGAUAAUGGAGGUAAUAUUAUAUGUUGUGAUGGAAGGUGUAUGAGAUCAUUUCAUCCUACUACUAAUGAAGAGUCUGCGUGUGAAUCUCUUGGCCUUAAUCCGAAGCAAGAGAAAGUCGGCUAGUGACCCAUUUUUACUUCAUUGGCUUUUAUUUGUUGGUGUCUUGUUUCUAAUUACUAAUCCCUAUUAAAUGGCAAGCAUUGGAAACAUUCUUAUGCAAGAAUUGUGAACAUAAUCAACAUCAGUGCUUUGCUUGUGGAACGUUAGGCUCUUCUGAUAAGUCCUC